UAAUUGAAGAGUUUGAUCAUGGCUCAGAUUGAACGCUGGCGGCAGGCCUAACACAUGCAAGUCGAGCGGUAACAGGAGAAAGCUUGCUUUCUUGCUGACGAGCGGCGGACGGGUGAGUAAUGUAUGGGGAUCUGCCCGAUAGAGGGGGAUAACUACUGGAAACGGUGGCUAAUACCGCAUAAUGUCUACGGACCAAAGCAGGGGCUCUUCGGACCUUGCACUAUCGGAUGAACCCAUAUGGGAUUAGCUAGUAGGUGGGGUAAAGGCUCACCUAGGCGACGAUCUCUAGCUGGUCUGAGAGGAUGAUCAGCCACACUGGGACUGAGACACGGCCCAGACUCCUACGGGAGGCAGCAGUGGGGAAUAUUGCACAAUGGGCGCAAGCCUGAUGCAGCCAUGCCGCGUGUAUGAAGAAGGCCUUAGGGUUGUAAAGUACUUUCAGCGGGGAGGAAGGUGAUAAGGUUAAUACCCUUGUC
rnacentral:rRNA from 1 species